rnacentral:rRNA from 1 species
UACGAAGGGUGCAAGCGUUAAUCGGAAUUACUGGGCGUAAAGCGCACGCAGGCGGUUGGUUAAGUCAGAUGUGAAAGCCCCGGGCUCAACCUGGGAAUUGCAUUUGAAACUGGCCAACUAGAGUACGUGAGAGGGGGGUAGAAUUCCAAGUGUAGCGGUGAAAUGCGUAGAGAUUUGGAGGAAUACCAGUGGCGAAGGCGGCCCCCUGGCACGAUACUGACGCUCAGGUGCGAAAGCGUGGGGAGCAAACAGG